AUUGAACGCUGGCGGCAGGCCUAACACAUGCAAGUCGAACGAGUGGCGGACGGGUGAGUAAUGUCUGGGAAACUGCCUGAUGGAGGGGGAUAACUACUGGAAACGGUAGCUGAUACCGCAUACUAUCGGAUGUGCCCAGAUGGGAUUAGCUAGUAGGUGGGGUAAAGGCUCACCUAGGCGACGAUCCCUAGCUGGUCUGAGAGGAUGACCAGGCACACUGGAACUGAGACACGGUGCAGACUCCUACGGGGGGAAGCAGUGGGGAAUAUUGCACAAUGGGCGCAAGCCUGAUGCAGCCAUGCGGCGUGUAUGAAGAAGGCCGUCGGGUUGUAAAGUACUUUCAGCGGGGAGGCGUUACCCGCAGAAGAAGCACCGGCUAACUCCGUGCCAGCCGCCGCGGUAAUAC
rnacentral:rRNA from 1 species